UACGGAGGGGGCAAGCGUUAUUCGGAAUCAUUGGGCGUAAAGGGCGCGUAGGCGGCUUGGCAAGUCAAAGGUGAAAUCCCUCGGCCUAACCGAGGAACUGCCUUUGAAACUGCUUGGCUUGAGGCCGGGAGAGGGUAGCGGAAUUCCCAGUGUAGCGGUGAAAUUCGUAGAUAUUGGGAGGAACACCAGUGGCGAAGGCGGCUACCUGGACCGGUUCUGACGCUGAGGCGCGAAAGCGUGGGGAGCAAACAGG
rnacentral:rRNA from 1 species